rnacentral:rRNA from 1 species
GACGAACGCUGGCGGCGUGCUUAACACAUGCAAGUCGAACGAAGAGCGACGGAAGCUUGCUUCUAUCAAUCUUAGUGGCGAACGGGUGAGUAACGCGUAAUCAACCUGCCCUUCAGAGGGGGACAACAGUUGGAAACGACUGCUAAUACCGCAUACGAUCUAACCUUGGCAUCGAGGAUGGAUGAAAGGUGGCCUCUAUUUAUAAGCUAUCACUGAAGGAGGGGAUUGCGUCUGAUUAGCUAGUUGGAGGGGUAACGGCCCACCAAGGCGAUGAUCAGUAGCCGGUCUGAGAGGAUGAACGGCCACAUUGGGACUGAGACACGGCCCAGACUCCUACGGGAGGCAGCAGUGGGGAAUCUUCCGCAAUGGACGAAAGUCUGACGGAGCAACGCCGCGUGAGUGAUGACGGCUUCGGGUUGUAAAGCUCUGUUAAUCGGGACGAAAGGCUUUCUUGCGAAUAGUGAGAAGGAUUGACGGUACCGGAAUAGAAAGCCACGGCUAA